CUGGUAGUCCACGCCGUAAACGAUGAGUGCUAGGUGUUAGGGGUUUCGAUACCCUUGGUGCCGAAGUUAACACAUUAAGCACUCCGCCUGGGGAGUACGGUCGCAAGACUGAAACUCAAAGGAAUUGACGGGGACCCGCACAAGCAGUGGAGUAUGUGGUUUAAUUCGAAGCAACGCGAAGAACCUUACCAGGUCUUGACAUCCCUAUGAUCGGUGCAGAGAUGUAUCUUUCCUUCGGGA
rnacentral:rRNA from 1 species